GACGAACGCUGGCGGCGUGCCUAAUACAUGCAAGUCGAACGCAGUGGGGACGGGUGAGUAACACGUGGGUAACCUCCCAUAAGCGGGGGAAACACUUUGAAACAGGUGCUAAACCGAUCAGGAUGGAUGGAACAGCGGUGCAUUAGCUAGUUGGUGAGGUAACGGCUCACCAAGCCCCCGAUGCAUAGCCGACCUGAGAGGGUGAUAGGCCAAACUGUGACUGAGACACGGACAAGAAUCCUACGUGAGGCAGCAGUAGGGAAUAUUCGGCAAUGGACGAAAGUCUGACCGAGCAACGCCGCGUGAGUGAAGAAGGUUUUCGGAUCGUAAAACUCAGUUGUUAGAGAAGCGGUAUCUAACCAGAAAGCCACGGCUAACUACGUGCCAGCAGCCGCGGUAAUAC
rnacentral:rRNA from 1 species